rnacentral:tRNA from 1 species
GGGGCUGUAGCUCAUUUGGGAGAGCGUUCGGUUCGCAUCCGAGAGGUAGUGAGUUCGAAUCUCAUCAGCUCCA